rnacentral:rRNA from 1 species
UAAGAAGAUAAUUAAUGCAUGUGGUGGAUGCCCUGGGUCUUCGUGCCGAAGAAGGAGGUGCUAGACUGCCAUAAGCCUCGAGGAGCUGUCAAGAAGCGUUAUAACUCGGGGAUUUCCGAAUGGGGGAACCCGGCCCACAGAAAUGUGAGGUCACACUGUACUGAAAGCUCGCCUUCGGGCGGGUCAUAGGUACUUUCGAGGGAACUCGGCGAACUGAAACAACUUAGUAGCCGGAGGAAAAGAGACCAAAUUAGGUAUUCCCUUAGUAGCGGCGAGCGAACGGGGAGAAGCCCAAACCCAAAUUUAUUUGGGGGUUAGGAUAAUCCAUUGUCAACUUGAUUGACGAAAGGUAAGAAAGCUAUUUUGUAGAAGAAGCCACCUGGAAAGGUGCGCCAUAGAUGGUAACAGCCCAGUAUUCGAAACAAAUUAGCCCUUUUGGGUUAUUCCAGAGUAGCACGGGACACGUGAAAUCCUGUGUGAAGAUAGCAGGCCCACCUGCUAAGGCUAAAUACACGAAGACACCGAUAGUGAACUAGUACCGUGAGGGAAAGGUGAAAAGAACCCCUGUUAGGGGAGUGAAAUAGAUCCUGAAACCAUAUGCAAACAACCUGGCAGAGUCCGCUUCGGCGGAUGAUGCCGUGCCUAUUGAAGAAUGAGCCAGCGAGUUAAUGUAUAGUGCAAGCUUAAACGAUUCAGUCGUGGAGGCGUAGGGAAACCGAGUCUUAACCGGCGCCUUAGUACUAUAUAUUAGACCCGAAGCCAGGUGAGCUAACCAUGAGCAGGGUGAAGUCAACCGAAAGGUUGAUGGAGGCCCGAACCCGUGUACGUAUCAAAGUGCUGGGAUGACUUGUGGUUAGGGGUGACACGCUAAUCGCACCUGGCGAUAGCUGGUUCUCCCCGAAAUAUAUUUAGGUAUAGCCUUUGUUUAUAGGUCCUGUGAGGUAGAGAUACUGAAAGGAGAUAGGGCACGUAAGUGUACCUACUCCUACCAAACUCCGAAUGCACAGGUAACCUGAACAGGGAGUCAGCACUGCGGGGAAAUCUCGUGGUGCGAGAGGGAAACAACCCAGACCAACGGAUAAGGUCCCUAAUCUUUGCUUAGUGGGCAAGGAGGUGGAAGUGUUUGGACAGCUAGGAGGUUGGCUUAGAAGCAGCCAUCCUUUAAAGAAAGCGUAAUAGCUCACUAGUUAAACGCUUCUGCGCCGAAAAUUUAACGGGGCUAAAGCAAAGAACCGACGCCGUGGAUCCGAUGCUUUGCAUCGGAUAGUAGGGGAGCUUUGAUGUCUCCGCCUUAGGCGGAUUUAGCUGUGAAGGUAAACCCGUGAGGGUUACUGGAGCGUCAUCAAGUGAGAAUGCUGGUAUAAGUAACGAGAGGGUGGUGAAAACCCACCCCGCCGAAAACCUAAGGGUUCCUCCGCUAUGUCAGUCAACGGAGGGUUAGCCGGCCCUAAGGCGAGGCCGAAAGGCGUAGCCGAUGGACAGCAGGUUAAUAUUCCUGCGCUAUCAAAUAACCGUUUUUACCAAUGGGGGGACGGAGCAGGUCAGAUCGAGCUUCUUAAGGAUUGGAGUUCCGAAAGCGAGCCAGUCUGUGCAGGCAAAUCCGCACAGACGUUACGGUGAGCUGGGGAAAAGGACCCGCUUUUGCGGGGACGAUUCGAUGCUGUGUCAGCUUCCAGGAAAAGCCUCUAGGGAGGUUAUUUGGUAUCCGUACCGCAAUCCGACACAGGUAGGUAGAUAGAGGAUAUUAAGGCGAACGAGCUAAUCGUGACCGAGGAACUAGGCAAAUUACAUCCGUAACUUCGGGAAAAGGAUGCCCUAUGCCUGCGUGGUGUAGGGGGCACAAAAAUGGCCCAAGCGACUGUUUAACAAAAACACAGGUCUCUGCUAAACCCCUAAGGGGAAGUAUAGGGGCCGACGCCUGCCCAGUGCCCGUAUGUUAAGACCGGGGGUGAUCGCAUUUAAUGCGUUAGCUCUUGGUUCAAGCACGGGUGAACGGCAGCAGUAACUAUAACUGUUCUAUGGUAGCGUAAUCCCUUGCCGGGUAAGUUCCGGCCUGCACGAAAGGCGUAACGACUUGGGCACUCUCUUAGUCACGAGCUCGGUGAAAUUGAACUGCCGGUGAAGAUGCCGGCUACUCGUUGUUGGACAAAUAGACCCCGUGGAGCUUUACUGUAGCUUGGUAUUGGUUAGUGGUGUUAAAUGUGUAGUGUAGGAGGGAGAUUGCAUAUUCGUAUGUAGUCGUCAAUGAAACACCUCUCUUUUAAUACUGCGAGCCUAACUGUGUACCGUGAUCCGGUACGAGGACAAUGCCUGGUGGGCAGUUUGUCUGGGGCGGACUCCUGCUAAAAAGUAACGCAGGAGCACAAAGGUUCCCUUAGCGCCGAUGGAAAUGGCGCUGUAAGUGUAAAGGCAUAUGGGAGCUUGACUGCAAGACAUACAAGUCGAGCAGAUACGAAAGUAGGUCUUAGUGAUCUUCCGAGUGCCUAGUGGUAGGCCCGGAACUUAACGGAUAAAAGUUACCCCGGGGAUAACAGGCUAGUCUUGCCCGAGCGUCCGCAGCGGCGGCAAGGAUCGGCACCUCGAUGUCGACUCGUCUUAUCCUGGAGCUGAAGCAGGUUCCAAGGGUUGGGCUGUUCGCCCAUUAAAAAGGCGCGUUAGUUGGGUUCAGAGCGUCGUGAGACAGCUCGGUCCCUUUCCACAACGAGCGUUUGAGAUCUGAGGGGACGGAUUCCUAGUACGAGAGGACCGGAAUCCCUAAACCUCUAGUGUACCAGUUGUUCCACCAGGAGCAUCGCUGGGUAGCUACGUUUAGUCGUGAUAAGUGCUGAAAGCAUCUAAGCACGAAGCACACCUCAAGAUUAGAUCUCUUCAGCUAUAAGCUGACGCGGUUCCUAGGAGAAUACUAGGUUGAUAGGCUGUAGGUGUACGCACAGUAAUGUGUUUAGCCGAGCAGUACUAAAAUCCGCGCAUCUUCAAUUA